rnacentral:miRNA from 1 species
AUUUCAGCUAAGUUGAGUUGU